rnacentral:rRNA from 1 species
AUGGUCCCUGUCGCUGAAAUGAAACCCCAAGUGCAACCUGUGUGCGGGUGCGCCAUGACCUCGCCGCCGCAGCCGCCGCCGGCGAAGAACCCCUCACCACUCCCCCCGACGACCAUAAGCGCCCUCGACCAAGACACCCUGCGCGAGAUCUUCCUCUGCCUCCCCUCUCUCCCGAGCCUCGUCCGCGCCGCCCUCAGCUGCCGCACCUUCCUGGACGCAGUCCGUUCGUCGCCCGCUUUCCGCCGCCGGUUCCGUGCGCUCCACCCACCCCCGCUCCUAGGCCACUUCCUCACCACCCAAGACACCACCAUCCCUACUUUCGUGCCUCUCCGCAGCCGCUCAGACCCGGACAUCGCGGCGGCCGUCCGCGGCGCUGAUUUCUUCCUCACCCGCCUCCCAGUCCUCAAAGACGACCGCGCCGUGUCCGUUCCUGUGCCCCCACCAGAAGACGACGACGAGGAUGCCGUCUCUGGCUCUCGAGACGAAGACGAGGAUCCCGUCCCUGAGUGGUCAGUCCAUGACUGCCGCGACGGAUUCGUUGUUCUCUACAGCUGGAGCACUCAGCAGAUCGCCGUCUACAACCCGCUCGCGCGGACCCUGGAUCUCUUCCCCCAGCCGCCUGGCCGGGAGGACUGCGAGGGCGACUAUUCUGAAUUCUACAUCCUCACCGAAAAAGAAGAAGACAACUUGCCGUGCCGCGUCGUGAGCGUCUGGCACGGUGAAUAUGGGGCGCGCGCCAUGGUCUUAUCAUCGGACACCAGUAAGUCGCAGAUUUUCCCAUGGGCAGACAUAGACGGGCUCUGGCCUCACAAUGGUAAGCUGGUGAAUGGCUGUAUCUAUUGGAAUAUUGGGAUGACUGAUGCCCCCGUGUUUAACACUGCUACAAUGCAAUUCUCUCUGAUGGAUAAUCCGCCGCACAUUAGAGGGAAUGACAUAUUGACGGCUGGUGAGACCAAGGAUGGAAGACUCUGUGUGGUCUGCGCACCUUUGGGCCACUGA